GCUGCCCUGGCGGAAUUGGCAGACGCGCAUGAUUCAGGUUCAUGUGCCCGAAAGGGUGUCCCGGUUCAAGUCCGGGGGGCAGCA
rnacentral:tRNA from 1 species